rnacentral:misc_RNA from 1 species
GAUAAUUGACAACAUGGCAUGUUGCAGAGAGUGAAAAUGGGAAUAAUAAGAUCGGAGUAAUGGGAAGCUACUCACAGUCAGGCCCAUCUGUGUAACAGCGUACCUACAACAAGACCAAGAAAUUACAACGUAUCUACAACAAGACCAAUAAAUUCAUAGCCACGCCCAUCUGCAUAUGGUAACAGCCUACCAGAAUUUGCAAAGCCUUUAC